rnacentral:misc_RNA from 1 species
CCCACACCCAUCUGGAUCUCAUCUUAUCGGAUCUUUACUCGUUCUUCUCCAACAAACCCACACCGGAUCCUAUCCUUUCCCAUUCCCUUUUACAAUCCAAUUCUCACCUUCUCGGAUCCUCUGAUCGGACUCUUUGAAGUUGCAGCAACCAAAAAAAACGAAGCUUCUGCUGCAUUUCGUACUGGCUGAUUCAACCUUAUGCAAUGGAAGUCUCAAAUGAAUCAGCUAUUAAGAAACCGAAAAGGUUAACCUCUGUGGUGUGGAAUCACUUUGAAAGGGUUAGGAAGGCUGACAUAUGUUAUGCUGUUUGUGUACAUUGUAACAAGAGGCUAAGUGGGUCAAGUAAUAGUGGAACUACGCAUCUGAGAAAUCACUUGAUGCGAUGCUUGAAAAGAUCUAAUUGUGAUGUGUCACAACUACUUGCAGCAAAGAGAAGGAAAAAGGAAACUACCCUUAGCCUUCCAAAUGUCAAUUAUGAUGAAGGACAAAGAAAAGAUGAAUAUAUUAAGCCCACAGUUAUAAAGUAUGACCAGGAGCAGAGAAAAGAUGAAGUUAUUAGUCUUGGAAGUAGCAGGUUUGAUCAAGAGCGGAGUCAGCUUGAUCUUGCCCGCAUGAUUAUAUUACAUGGUUAUCCAUUGUCUAUGGUUGAGCAUGUUGGAUUCAAAAUAUUUGUCAAAAAUCUCCAGCCUUUGUUUGAGUUUUUGCCAAAUACCUUCAUAGAACUCUCCUGCGUGGAAAUUUAUGGGAAAGAGAAAGAGAAAGUGUAUGAAGUGAUAAAUAGAUUGCAGGGCAGAAUUAACCUCUCCAUUGAAAUGUGGUCUUCUCCAGAAAACAUAGAGUACUUGUGUUUGACAGCACAUUAUAUUGAUGAGGAUUGGAAAUUACAGAAGAAGAUUCUAAAUUUUGUGACACUGGAUCCUUCUCAUACAGAAGAUAUGCUUUCAGAAGUUAUUAUUAAGUGUCUUAUGGAGUGGGACAUUGAAUGCAAGUUGUUUGCCAUGACAUUUGAUGACUGUUCCAUCGAUGAUGAUAUUGUCCUCAGAAUUAAGGACCGAAUCUCUCAAAACAGACCCCUUUUGAGUAAUGGCCAGUUAUUUGAUGUACGUUCUGCUGCACAUGUUCUUAAUUGCAUUGUUCAAGAUGCCAUGGAAGCACUCCGUGAAGUGACCCAAAAGAUUCGAGGAAGUGUCAGAUAUGUUAAAAGUUCACAGGCAACACAUGGGAAGUUCAACGAGAUAUCCCAGCAAGUUGGAAUCAGCAGUCAGAAGACCUUAGUUCUUGAUUCUCCAAUUCACUGGAACACAACAUAUUUCAUGCUUGAAACAGCAUUGGAAUACAAGAGUGCAUUUUCUCUGUUGCAAGAGCAUGACCCAGCCUAUUCAUCAGCUUUAACCGAUGCAGAGUGGGAAUGGUCAAGUUCUAUCACUAGUUAUUUGAAACUUUUUGUUGAAAUCACCAAUGUCUUUUCUGGUAACAAAUGUAUGACAGCAAAUAUAUAUUUUCCUGAGAUUUGUGAUGUUCACAUCCAAUUAAUUGAAUGGUGCAAGAGCACAAAUGAUUUCCUUAGCUCCAUAGCAUUGAAGAUGAAAGCUAAGUUUGAUAAAUAUUGGAGCAAGUGUAGUUUGGCUUUGGCAGUAGCAGCUAUCUUAGAUCCCCGAUUCAAGAUGAAGUUGGUGGAAUACUACUAUUCUCAGAUAUAUGGUAGUACUGCCCUGGAUCGAAUCAAGGAAGUUUCUGAUGGUAUUAAAGAACUUUUUAAUGCAUACUCUAUCUGUUCAACAUUGGUUGAUCAAGGUUCAGCUUUGCCUGGCAACAGUUUACCUAGUACCAGCAGUGACAGUAGAGAUAGAUUAAAGGGCUUUGACAAGUUCCUGCACGAGACUUCUCAAACGCAGAGUGUAGCAUCUGAUUUGGACAAAUAUUUAGAGGAACCUGUCUUUCCUCGUAAUUGUGAUUUUAACAUACUAAACUGGUGGAAAGUCCACAGACCAAGGUACCCUAUCUUGGCCAUGAUGGCACGUGAUGUUUUGGGGACUCCCAUGUCUACUGUUGCACCAGAGUUGGCGUUUAGCAUUGGAGGUAGGGUGCUUGAUAGUCAUCGAAGUUCACUGAAUCCAGACACUCGACAGGCUCUGAUAUGUGCACGGGAUUGGUUGCGAGGGGAACCAGAAGAGCACAACCCGUCCUCUGCUCUAGCUCUGUAUCUUGAAGCAAGUUAAUUUUUCCAUGGUUGAUGGAUCUCUUGUCGGCUAUAUGAUGGUGUCUCAUUGUUCAACAUUUGGGCAUCCUUCUGAAUUUGUUUCUUCUUUGUCCAUAUUUCAGCAAGACUGCAUUGCUAUUCAAGUAGAGU